rnacentral:tRNA from 1 species
GUUGUUAUAGCAUAAGAAGUGCAUUUGUUUUAAGCGUAAAAGAUAUGGAACAACU